CUUUAUCAGCACCUGACAUAUUCAAAGCAUUAAGAAAAAAACCUAACAAGGCUCAGUGUUUGGUUUGGAUAGGUAGAAGUAAUACAUUUGUACAGUAAAUGACACUGCAAAUAGCUUGUGGGUCCUUGUCAAACUUAUUGACCUUGUUCUUAUUGUAGUCAUGUGGGAUUUUGACUGCAAACAGGUUCAAUCUUGCAGUCAUCGCUCUGCAGCCGGAGUCAAUGAAGUGUCAAAGGCACACUUAUGAAGCUGCCACAACUGGCAUUACGGUCCUCCGGCUGAGCAGAAAUAAGACAUGACACACUGGCUAGUGCCCAGUACAGUAUGUAAGUCAAUCUCUCAUAACCCCUCUUGCUGAGCAGGUGCCAUGGCAUCCACCCGCAAUGCUGGAUAUGGUCCCCAUCCCCACCUUUCAGAUAUGGUGUCAAUAAUGCAAAAUGACAAUUAAAGCAGUUCAUCAUUGAAUUCAGUGAUGUUAUCAUUCAGCUCAGUUCAUUUAAAUAGUAUCUGUGCAAUCAAGUCAACGAUAUCACUGGAUAUUAAGUGUCCCCAACUAAGCAAGCCAGAGGUGACAGCAGCAAGGAAACAAAACUCCAUCAGUGACAGAAUGGAGAAGAAACCUUGGAAAAAACCAGGCUCAGUCGGGGGGCCAGUUCUCCUCUGGCCAGAUGAAACCAGCAGUUAAAUUCCAGGCUGCAGCAAAGUCACAUUGUGCAGAGGACUCAUCUGUUUCCUGUGGUCUUGUCCCGGUGGCCGUCUAGGAGACAAGGUCUUUACUGGGGAUUUGUCUCUGGGGCUCAUCUAGCUGUCCUGGACUCCGCUGACAUUCAGGGCUGUAUGGUCAUCUCUAGGUGCUGAUCCACCAUCUGGGCUGGAUAUGUACUGGAUCCGGGUGACUGCAGUGACCAUCAGAUCUUGAUACAGACUGGAUCUGGUGGCUACGGUGACCUCGGAAUAAGAAAGAAGAAGAGGUGUUAGCAAGGUGUCUUAAAUGGGGGCUAGGAUAUUGCUGCAUGGUUUCUGUGAUAACCUGUGUGAUUUUUAGCAAUAUUGUAGUACUUGAGUCGAGACUGGACUCGUUACUGAGACCAUCUUAAGUCGGAGUAGAGGACCAUACUUUCACGGUUUUGGUCUGGUCAUGGAGUUGGAAGCAUUUGGACUCAGUCUUGGUCCUGCACUGUUUAUUGUAAAAGUUCAUAUGACUGACACAAAACCAGUCUUCAUUCACUGCAAAGGAAAGCAUAUGUUCACUGAAUCGUUCAGACCCUGUUCAGGUCUCUGUCUUGACUUGGACAACCAGAUUUCAGCCUGGCCUCUAAUGAGCUGGUCUUGACAACACUUUUUAGCAUGUUGAUCUGCAUGCUAAGAUGAUUUGGGUGGUUUUUAACUCUCAGAUAUCUGGUGGCUGCAGGGUCCUAGGUGGUAGUUUUGCUAUUCUGUCCCAGGCCCCUUUUAAAUGUAAGUUUAAGGGAUUUUAUGUAAUUUUUACAGUCUGCCUGGUAAGAUUUUAUGUAAUUUUUACAGUCUGCCUGGUAAAAAAAAAAAAAAAAAAAAAAAAAAAAAAACUU
ensembl:lncRNA